AGAGUUUGAUCAUGGCUCAGGACGAACGCUGGCGGCGUGCUUAACACAUGCAAGUCAAACGGUGAUGAUGGGGCUUGCCCUGUCUGAUCAGUGGCGAACGGGUGAGUAACACGUGAGUAACCUGCCCCAGACUCUGGGAUAACCCCGGGAAACCGGAGCUAAUACCGGAUAUGACCCUCGUACGCAUGUGCAGGGGGUGGAAAGUUUUUCGGUCUGGGAUGGGCUCGCGGCCUAUCAGCUUGUUGGUGAGGUAGUGGCUCACCAAGGCGACGACGGGUAGCCGGCCUGAGAGGGCGACCGGCCACACUGGGACUGAGACACGGCCCAGACUCCUACGGGAGGCAGCAGUGGGGAAUAUUGCACAAUGGGCGGAAGCCUGAUGCAGCGACGCCGCGUGAGGGAUGACGGCCUUCGGGUUGUAAACCUCUUUCAGCAGGGAAGAAGCGCAAGUGACGGUACCUGCAGAAGAAGCACCGGCUAACUACGUGCCAGCAGCCGCGGUA
rnacentral:rRNA from 1 species